rnacentral:lncRNA from 1 species
AAUGGCCACACGCGCACCCCCUACGGAAAAACACCGCCUAGGACCACACCGCAGCCUAACUGCUGGCCUCUCUGCUAGAGAGGCUCUGAAAGCAGAGACCCGGCGCACAGCCUGGACCCCUCCCGGUCGGAAGAGUGCAGGUCCUAUUCCUAGGGGCCAGUCUCUCUAAAUAUGCCCGAGGUGAGUAUUUGAAGGGUGGUGUAGGUGGUGAUAUGGUGGAAAGGGUGUCCAGGAAGUCCUUGGGGUUCCCACCUGGGGUGGGGGUGGGGUUGUGGACAGGGGAGACCCAAUCUCAGACUGAGGCUAGGGAAGGAGAGGGCCAUCCGAGGGUUUUGAAUCCAGCAUUUGACUGCCCUUAUCUGCCUACGGCCUCCAACCGGGCCCUUUCCAUUUUUUUGGCCUGUGGUGAAACCAGAUGGUUGGACUAUGGUAGGUCCUCCUUGUCCUUCUCCCAGUCAGGAUCUGUGGACGCUCCUCAAGGUCGGUAACUUUGUUGUGGCUGUAUCCGGGUACUGUACACUGCUUGGAGUUCAGCAGGAAGAAGGCCGAGGUCAUCCGGGCCAGCACAAAGCCCUCGCUUGGGUGGGCCUGAGGCCUAGGGCGACUGGGCUGAAACACCUCUCUGCUCCCUGAGCUUGGAUAGCACCCAGAACACUGGGGGUUGGUUUGGUGCAACUUUGGGGCUCCCCCAGGGUGUCCUGCACUGUGAGUGGGUUAAGAGGGACCCAAGGCCAGGUCGAAAGCAGUGGCUGAGCCACUGCUUCAUCUAAGAAAUUAUCUUUGCCCCGGGGAUUGAGAACUACUGGAGACCCUGUUGCCUGGCCCCAGAAGGCACUCCCGGAUCUCCUCCUUCAGCACACACUGAAACAUUCCACUCCACUGGUAACUGGGGGUGUCAGGGAAGCAAGCUGGAUCUCUGCUACACAAAGAGAAUUGCAGCUCUAAAUAUUCUAGUCUAACGCCAUUCAGUCCUAAAUCUCCCCCUUCUCCAUUCUCCUCCAAUUAAAACAAAUGCAGCAGAUAACAGCUACUCAGGCUUUCCUUUCAGUAAACUUAACUGAAGUCAAGAGAUGCAGUUUAGUCUGACAACCACAGGUGCUUGCAAGAGUCCUCUGGUGGUUUCCUCCUGGCAUGGACCACUGACUUGGUUGAUCCUGGGCUCAGAAGAGCUGACUGGAUUUUCGUAAGGUGGGACAGGAGAAGUCUACCAUAGACUCCAGGAGGGCCAAUCUGUAUUUUUCACUAGAAGCCUUGGAGGAAAGGCUAUUUAUAGGCAUCUGGAGAGACCAUUUUGGGCCAGGAUCAAUUCAUCUAGAAUAUGUGAUUCCCUUUGCCCCUUGGGAACCUGCCUCUCCUGCUAGGGUGGAAUUAAUCAGAAGGUAUAAAUGUGUCAUAGUGGAGCUUGAGCUCGGUUGGAAUUGCAUUGCACAUUGUUUGUCACACAUAGAACCUAGAACCAUAGGCUGAGGCACCUGUACUUGAAUCCACGGUGCUGGUGGUAAUAGAGAAGUAGGGAGCCAGCACCUCCCCUGUAUAUUUCUC